rnacentral:lncRNA from 1 species
GUGGAUCUAACUUGGGGAUGAUGGGGGCUUUGAAAUUCUUGAACAUAGAGACAGAAAUUUGUGGUUGCUUUACUAGAGAGAGGAAGAGAUAGAUACAGAGAUAUAUCUCGCGACUUGAGCGCCAUAGUGACCGCCUUUCGAGCGCCGAUAGUGAUGGUGGUGGUUGUGAUGGUGUGUGUGGCGAGAAUGUGUAGUGUUUGUGACCAAGUAUUGUGGUGGAAUUGGAUCUAGAUUGGAUGUGGUGUCACGGCGGUGUGGUGCUAGCGUUGAUUGGGUGGUGGUGAUUUGUGGUCAAGAUUGGUGCUGGAUUGAGACCGGUAUAGUGGAAUGUUUGGAAUCUGUGACCAACUAUUGUAACCAACUAUUUCGCUGAUUUGUAACCAAAAAUUAGGUGUUUGUGACUAAAAAAUAAAUUGUGACCUAUAGAUAAAAUAUGAUC